CCUACGGGAGGCAGCAGUGGGGAAUAUUGCACAAUGGGGGAAACCCUGAUGCAGCGACGCCGCGUGAGUGAAGAAGUAAUUCGUUACGUAAAGCUCUAUCAGCAGGGAAGAAACACUGACCUUACGGUCAGCAGACGGUACCUGAGUACGAAGCACCGGCUAACUACGUGCCAGCAGCCGCGGUAAUACGUAGGGGGCAAGCGUUAUCCGGAUUUACUGGGUGUAAAGGGAGCGUAGACGGUACGCCAAGUCUGGAGUGAAAUGCCGCAGCUUAACUGCGGAACUGCUUUGGAAACUGGCGAACUAGAGUGCGGGAGGGGUAAGCGGAAUUCCUAGUGUAGCGGUGAAAUGCGUAGAUAUUAGGAGGAACACCGGUGGCGAAGGCGGCUUACUGGACCGUGACUGACGUUGAGGCUCGAAGGCGUGGGGAGCAAACAGGAUUAGAUACCCGAGUAGUC
rnacentral:rRNA from 1 species